GUGGGAGUUGGGGUGGGGGAGGAGGCGAGAGGUCCUGGGGUUAGGGGUUGAGGUAGGCGUGCCCCUCAGUCCUUUGAUUCCUGGCAUAGCCUGGACCCCUGUUCUCUGCGGAUGGUGUCUGCUCCCCUCAGACCAAGGUUCUGACUCCUAGUCCCCUGAGGUCACAGUGGGGGGAGAGGUGUCCUUGGGCGACAAAGCCGCUGGGGUCUUCCAGGGCUGACAGGAGGGACUAAGCUGGAUUCUGUGGCCCCUCUUUGAGCGGGGGUUUACCCUCAGUCUUCACUCAGGAGGGUCCUCUUCCUGGGUCCUGGCUCUUUGUUGAAGUGAUGGGUUGGAGAUGCUCUUUUUCUCUCACCUCUGAGCAUUUGCCCAGCUGUACCCCUUGCAGAAAAUGGCUGCGGGUACCAGGCGAGGUGUUCCCUGGGUGGCUGCAGCACCCGUUAUUGUAGUGACCUCUGUGAGAAGAUGCACGCCUUCCCACGGGGGCUCCUCCCCAGCCAGAGCUGGACUUUGGAAACCUUUUUUCCUCAAAGAAAUAUAUUUUACAUAUCUUCCAAGGAUAUAUAUAGAGUUGAUUUGGGAACCAGAGAACAGCAGCCUAAGUGUGACUGUAAUUUUUGGCAGCUACAGGGAAGCCUCACACAUAUAGAAUAAUAGAGAGACUAACAUAAUGAACCCAGCAUACCUGACGCUCAGCAUCAACAACCUUAAAUACACGGCAAAUCUGGUUCCAGUUAGACACUCACCUACCUGCAUCUCAGCUGCUGGAAUAAUGUGGAUCAAAUCAAAGACAGCAUACCAUUUCAUCUCUAAAUAAUUCAAUAUUCAUUUUUAAAAGACAAGGACAUUGUACCCAGCUGUACCCCUCGCAGAGAAUGGCUGCAGGUACCAGGCGAGGUGUUCCCUGGGUGGCUGCAGCACCCGUGAUUGUAGUCACCUCUGGGUCACAAUCACU
rnacentral:lncRNA from 1 species